GAUGAACGCUGGCGGCGUGCCUAAUACAUGCAAGUCGAGCGAACGGACGAGGAGCUUGCUUCUCUGAUGUUAGCGGCGGACGGGUGAGUAACACGUGGAUAACCUACCUAUAAGACUGGGAUAACUUCGGGAAACCGGAGCUAAUACCGGAUAAUAUUUUGAACCGCAUGGUUCAAAAGUGAAAGACGGUCUUGCUGUCACUUAUAGAUGGAUCCGCGCUGCAUUAGCUAGUUGGUAAGGUAACGGCUUACCAAGGCAACGAUGCAUAGCCGACCUGAGAGGGUGAUCGGCCACACUGGAACUGAGACACGGUCCAGACUCCUACGGGGGGCAGCAGUAGGGAAUCUUCCGCAAUGGGCGAAAGCCUGACGGAGCAACGCCGCGUGAGUGAUGAAGGUCUUCGGAUCGUAAAACUCUGUUAUUAGGGAAGAACAUAUGUGUAAGUAACUGUGCACAUCUUGACGGUACCUAAUCAGAAAGCCACGGCUAACUACGUG
rnacentral:rRNA from 1 species